UGCUAGCGUGGCUGUACGUCCGAUGCUGGUCUUGUUCCUCCACCUAUCUGCUACUAAGUUUUCAGAGUUCUUAAAUAGCUACUCUGUGUGUUUUGUCCAGGAUUUUUUUUCUUUUUUAAUGUUUAUUUAUUUUUGAGAGAGAAAGAGUGAGUGAGUGCCAGUGGGGGAGGGGGCAGAGAGAGAGAGAGAGGGAGAGAGAGGGAGGGAGACACAGAAUCCGAAGCAGGCUCCAGGCUCUGCGCUGUCAGCGCAGAGCCUCAUGCGGGGCUCGAACCCAGUCUGAUCUAGAUGUAUGGGGAGCAUCAGCAAACCUUGUAUGCCUCACCUAAGAUGUGGGGCUUUACCUCAUGAUGUGACCUUCUCCAGGGCUCUCGGCUUUCCCCUUAAUUCUAGCUAACUCUGCCUUUUGUGGGAUUUGUGCCCUCAGUGGGAAGCCUUCUACCCACCUGCCUCCCAUCCUUUGUGACCCCAUCCUUCUCCCAUGGUGGAAUCUUUUUUCCCAUCUAGCAAGGCAAUAGAUAGCGGGCCUGAGUAUAAGAAAUGCAGUGAUAGCUGUUCCGUAUACACUGGUUUGUAUAACCUUCAUCUCAACAUCACUGUUACUAACCCCCUUUUACAGAAGAGAAAACUGAGGUGUAGUUUUGGGGUAAGUUGCCUCCAGUUGUGGGUGGUAACCUAAAAAAUGAUGUCCCAAAGAAGCCAGAUCCCUGGGGCCUGUAAAUCUACCUUACAUGGAUACAAGGCCUUUACAGAUAUAUUAAGUUAAGAUCUUGAGAUGGGGAGAUUAUCCUGGAUUAUCAGGGUGGCCCUAAAUACAAUUACAUGUAUAGGAGAGGGAAGCAGAGGGAGAUCUCUCUCUCUCUCUCUCCCUCCCUCCCUCCCUCCCUCCCUCCCUUUCCCAUCCCCACCCCCCACAGAAAAGAAGGUGAUGUGACCACAGAGCUGACACAUUUCAAGAUGCUGGCAUUAAAAACCAGAGCGAUGCAGCCACAAACCAAGCAGAAACAGCCAACACCAGAAGCUGGAAGAGUCAGGGAACAGUGUCUCCCCUGGAGCCCCCAGAAGGAGUGCAGCCCUGUCAACACCUUACUUUGCCCCAGUGAUACUGAUUUUGGACUCCGGGCCCCCAGAACUGAGAGAAUACAUUUCUGUUUGUCUGAAGCCACCAAGUCUGUGGUAAUUUGCCACAAGAGCUUUAGGAGACCAGUCUACCAUGUAGAACCAGCCACGUGCCCCCGUCUGUCUGGCUCAGUUUCUUCACCUGUAAAACGGAGAACAAAUGGGACACACUUCACAAGGCUGUUUUGAGCGCCACAGUUAUAAUUCCGUUGUGGAAAGUUUCGUCUGAAGGGCUCGGAAUUGUGUGGCAGGAAGUAAGCGCUCACUGAUGGCUCUCAACUGUCAUCACAGUGAAGAAGUCAGGAAGGAUCCGCAUUAAAUGACGUCAUUAUCUUGGGCGGUGACGGUGGAUCAUGGAGGACAGUAAGUCUUGUGGGUUCAGAUGUUUCAGAUGAUCGGGGAUAAUCAGGAAAAAUUACUGUUAAUAUCUUUCCUUUUUAAAUUUUUUUUAACGUUUAUUUAUUUUUGAGAGGAGAGAGACAGAGCAUGAGCGGGGGAGGAGAGAGAAAGAGGGAGACACAGAAUCUGAAACAGGCUCCAGGCUCUGAGCCGUCAGCCCAGAGCCCGACGCAGGGCUCAAACUCACGGACCGCGAGAUCAUGACCUGAGCCAAAGUCGGCCGCUUAACUGACAGAGCCAGCCGGGCGCCCCCACAGUUUGUGAUUUCGAGUCACACAAGCCCCGUGCUUCGGGUAAAACGCGAGCUCUGGGUGAGCCCUGCUUCUCUCUCUCAAUCUCCCCGCCCCUUGUCACUUGCCCCCCGACCCCCAAAAAAGUGCAUGGUACAAAAUUCUAAAGCAAAAAGCAAAGAAAAGGCAAUAUAGAUAAGUCCCCCUCCCACGCCAUCCCUCAGCCACCCAGGUGUCCUAUCUCCCCAUACCCACAAUUGCUGUCUGGUGUGUUUUUCCGGAAUUGGGGGGGGGUGUCUAUGUAGAUAUAAUCAAAUACAUAUUUCUAACCAUUUUAUUUUACAGGGGUGGAAAUGAAGGCAACCAGAAUAUGUCAGCCCAAAAUAUGCCUCUUUGACUUAAAAAGUAUUUUGAGCUGAAGGCAGUUAAGAAGCAGCAAGCCCAGGAAAAAAAGCUCCCUCUUUUCUGCCUAAAGGCAGGGUAUAAAUUCUUCUUUUAUUGGAGACAGACAUAAAUCUAGAGAUGACACCAGAGGAAUUUGCAAACCUUCCUCCAUUCCCUCUCAUAUAUUUACCUUUCCACAGCCUUCUGAUCUCAGAAGCCUUGAGCCAUUUCCCUUUGCCUUGUCAUUUCUUGGCAAAUUUAUUGUUCCUUGUUGAAGAUGCUAUCUAAGCUGGAAUUCUAAGCUGCCAUUUUGGGUUACUUUUCAUUAGGUUUCCCCGUGUAAUGUGUGCUGCAUGACUUAAUAAAAGUUUUUUCUCUUGUUAGUCUAAGUUUUGU
rnacentral:lncRNA from 1 species